AACACGUCUUCCCCCGGGCUGAGGA
rnacentral:piRNA from 1 species